AAAUUGAAGAGUUUGAUCAUGGCUCAGAUUGAACGCUGGCGGCAGGCCUAACACAUGCAAGUCGAGCGGUAGCACAGAGGAGCUUGCUCCUUGGGUGACGAGCGGCGGACGGGUGAGUAAUGUCUGGGAAACUGCCUGAUGGAGGGGGAUAACUACUGGAAACGGUAGCUAAUACCGCAUAACCUCGCAAGAGCAAAGAGGGGGACCUUCGGGCCUCUCGCCAUCAGAUGUGCCCAGAUGGGAUUAGCUAGUAGGUGAGGUAAUGGCUCACCUAGGCGACGAUCCCUAGCUGGUCUGAGAGGAUGACCAGCCACACUGGAACUGAGACACGGUCCAGACUCCUACGGGAGGCAGCAGUGGGGAAUAUUGCACAAUGGGCGCAAGCCUGAUGCAGCCAUGCCGCGUGUGUGAAGAAGGCCUUCGGGUUGUAAAGCACUUUCAGCGAGGAGGAAGGCGGUAAGGUUAAUAACCUUAUCGAUUGACGUUACUCGCAGAAGAAGCACCGGCUAACUCCGUGCCAGCAGCCGCGGUAAUACGGAGGGUGCAAGCGUUAAUCGGAAUGACUGGGCGUAAAGCGCACGCAGGCGGUCUGUUAAGUUGGAUGUGAAAUCCCCGGGCUUAACCUGGGAACUGCAUUCAAAACUGACAGGCUAGAGUCUUGUAGAGGGGGGUAGAAUUCCAGGUGUAGCGGUGAAAUGCGUAGAGAUCUGGAGGAAUACCGGUGGCGAAGGCGGCCCCCUGGACAAAGACUGACGCUCAGGUGCGAAAGCGUGGGGAGCAAACAGGAUUAGAUACCCUGGUAGUCCACGCUGUAAACGAUGUCGAUUUGGAGGUUGUGCCCUUGAGGCGUGGCUUCCGGAGCUAACGCGUUAAAUCGACCGCCUGGGGAGUACGGCCGCAAGGUUAAAACUCAAAUGAAUUGACGGGGGCCCGCACAAGCGGUGGAGCAUGUGGUUUAAUUCGAUGCAACGCGAAGAACCUUACCUACUCUUGACAUCCACAGAAUUUGGUAGAGAUACCUUAGUGCCUUCGGGAACUGUGAGACAGGUGCUGCAUGGCUGUCGUCAGCUCGUGUUGUGAAAUGUUGGGUUAAGUCCCGCAACGAGCGCAACCCUUAUCCUUUGUUGCCAGCGAUUCGGUCGGGAACUCAAAGGAGACUGCCGGUGAUAAACCGGAGGAAGGUGGGGAUGACGUCAAGUCAUCAUGGCCCUUACGAGUAGGGCUACACACGUGCUACAAUGGCGUAUACAAAGAGAAGCGACCUCGCGAGAGCAAGCGGACCUCAUAAAGUACGUCGUAGUCCGGAUUGGAGUCUGCAACUCGACUCCAUGAAGUCGGAAUCGCUAGUAAUCGUAGAUCAGAAUGCUACGGUGAAUACGUUCCCGGGCCUUGUACACACCGCCCGUCACACCAUGGGAGUGGGUUGCAAAAGAAGUAGGUAGCUUAACCUUCGGGAGGGCGCUUACCACUUUGUGAUUCAUGACUGGGGUGAAGUCGUAACAAGGUAACCGUAGGGGAACCUGCGGUUGGAUCACCUCCUUA
rnacentral:rRNA from 1 species